rnacentral:rRNA from 1 species
GACGAACGCUGGCGGCGUGCCUAAUACAUGCAAGUAGAACGCACAGUUUAUACCGUAGCUUGCUACACCAUAGACUGUGAGUUGCGAACGGGUGAGUAACGCGUAGGUAACCUGCCUGGUAGCGGGGGAUAACUAUUGGAAACGAUAGCUAAUACCGCAUAAUAUUAAUUAUUGCAUGAUAAUUAAUUGAAAGGUGCAAUUGCACCACUACCAGAUGGACCUGCGUUGUAUUAGCUAGUAGGUGAGGUAACGGCUCACCUAGGCGACGAUACAUAGCCGACCUGAGAGGGUGAUCGGCCACACUGGGACUGAGACACGGCCCAGACUCCUACGGGAGGCAGCAGGAGGGAAACUUCGGCAAUGGACGAAAGUCUGACCGAGCAACGCCGCGGGAGUGAAGAAGGUUGUCGGAUCGUAAAGCUCUGUUGUAAGAGAAGAACGGGUGUGAGAGUGGAAAGUUCACACUGUGACGGUAUCUUACCAGAAAGGGACGGCUAACUACGUG